UUUCUUACAAAAUGGAAAAUAAUGUUGAUCUAGAUCUAGAAUGUGUAGAUUUAUAAAAGCACUUGCAAUAGGAGUCCCUGACUCAGACAACAGGAACGUAGGAAAGUCCUUCCCAGUCGGCUGCCAGUUGAAGGAAUCUUCAGAACACCAGUCACUCACAGUUCUCACGUUACUGAACUGAUAAGACUUCUGUACUCUGAAGAAGAAGACCAAUUGCAUUGAUGCAUCUUGAAUGGAAAAUGAGCAGCUACCAGAUGUACUAAGUCAGAUGCAGCUUUGUAGUCAGCUUGUGUUUGAGCACAAACAACAUCAUUAGUAUCAGUGCACUUGAUCCAACCGUCAUCUGGCACUCAGGAUAAAUGCUCUCAUUAGAUUCGUUUGCCUCGGAGUCCAUGCUGUCUGUUUCAAAGUUUACAAAAUUCAUGUCAUUAGCAUGAAUGUUGUUUUCAUUAUAAUCUUCAUCUGCUUCUUCAUCAUUGUGGUCUUGAUCAUCAUCAUCUUGAUCUGCUAAAAACAAAUCUGAUUUAUGCAUUUUCAAGCAUCAGACUGGUUGCAACUACCUUCAAAGUUAGUUUCCAUAUCAACUUCUUGAUCAGUUGUGUCUGACAAGUCGUCAUCUGAAAUUACUGUGCUCUGAUGAUCAAUCGUAUCUGAAGAAUGUGAUAUGGAUUUGGUACACUCAUCUGUCUGUCUGAAUAUAAGUUGGUUCUUAUCAAUUUUGAACUGUAGGUCACUGCAGUUACCUAAACGUAUGCUGCCUUACAAUUUUACAGAAUGUAGUAUAUAUUGAUGUAUUGGAAUAUAUUGAAAACAUGAAUUGAAAUUGAAUUUUGUAAAUUUUGUUAAGGAAUAAUGAGA